AGUCAUACGCUCGUCUCAAAGAUUUAGCCAUGCAUGUGUAAGUAUAAAUAAUUUUACUUUGAAACUGCGAAUGGCUCAUUAUAUCAGUUAUAGUUUAUUAGAAAUACUUUACUACUUGGAUAACCGUAGUAAUUCUAGGGCUAAUACAUGAGUAAAUCCUCAACUUCGGAAGAGGUGUGUUUAUUAGUAUGAAAACCAUAUAUCUUCGGAUAUAAUAGUGAGUAAUAAUAACCUUUCAUAUCGUAUGUCGUAAGAUAACGAUAGUUCUUUCAAGUUUCUGCCCUAUCAGCUUUCGAUGGUAGUAUAUGGGACUACCAUGGCAGUAACGGGUAACGAAGAAUUUGGGUUCGAUUUCGGAGAGGGAGCCUGAGAGAUGGCUACCACAUCCAAGGAAGGCAGCAGGCGCGUAAAUUACCCAAUCCUGACAUAGGGAGGUAGUGACAAUAAAUCACAAUGCGGAACUAUUUAGUUUUGCAAUUGGAUUGAGAACAAUGUACAAAUGUUAUCGAUAAACAAUUGGAGGGCAAGUCUGGUGCCAGCAGCCGCGGUAAUUCCAGCUCCAAUAGCGUAUAUUAACGUUGUUGCAGUUAAAAAGCUCGUAGUUGAAAUGUGGGAUGAAGUAUAUGAUGAAUUUUAUAUUCAAUUAUAUAUUGAUUCCCCUCUCCAAUUUAUUAUUAUGGGUAUUAAUUUAUUUGUAAUAAGAAUUGGUCAUUUACUGUGAGAAAAUUAGAGUGUUCAAAGCAGGCAUUUGCUUGAAUAGAUUAGCAUGGAAUAAUAAUAAAAGGCUUUUAUGGUCGAUUUAAUUGGUUUGUUCAUAAAAGCAAGAUUAAAAGGAACAGUUGGGGGUAUUCAUAUUCAAUAGUUAGAGGUGAAAUUCUCGGAUUUAUGGAA
rnacentral:rRNA from 1 species